rnacentral:lncRNA from 1 species
ACAAUCGUGACAGAGGCGGAGUCAGGAUUUUUGAAGUUUAUGGGUUCUGAACUUGCCACUGAACUCAUAACUCGUUUUCGUUACUACAAAAUAUUUGCAAAUAUAGGGUCUGAGCCAAGCUUUUGUGCUUGUGUGGACCCGUGCUUGUACUAUAGCUCCGCCCCUGAAACCUUUUGUGCUCGUGUGAACCCGUGCUUGUACUAUGGCUCUGACCCUCAAAGCUUUUGUGCUUGUGUGGACCUGUGAUUGUACUAUAGCUCCGCCCCUGAAACCUUUUGUGCUCGUGUGAACCCGUGCUUGUACUAUGGC